GGGUUGUGAGGUUAAGCGACUAAGCGUACACGGUGGAUGCCCUGGCAGUCAGAGGCGAUGAAGGGCGUGCUAAUCUGCGAUAAGCGCCGGUAAGGUGAUAUGAACCGUUAUAACCGGCGAUACCCGAAUGGGGAAACCCAGUGUGAUUCGUCACACUAUCAUUAACUGAAUCCAUAGGUUAAUGAGGCGAACCGGGGGAACUGAAACAUCUAAGUACCCCGAGGAAAAGAAAUCAACCGAGAUUCCCCCAGUAGCGGCGAGCGAACGGGGAGGAGCCCAGAGCCUGAAUCAGCAUGUGUGUUAGUGGAAGCGUCUGGAAAGGCGCGCGAUACAGGGUGACAGCCCCGUACACAAAAGCGCAUGUGCUGUGAGCUCGAUGAGUAGGGCGGGACACGUGGUAUCCUGUCUGAAUAUGGGGGGACCAUCCUCCAAGGCUAAAUACUCCUGACUGACCGAUAGUGAACCAGUACCGUGAGGGAAAGGCGAAAAGAACCCCGGCGAGGGGAGUGAAAAAGAACCUGAAACCGUGUACGUACAAGCAGUGGGAGCCCCACCACUAAGCCAGUGGUGAACUCCACAUACGCAUCCUUUGCUGAGGAUACGGUUAACGGAGCGAAAGCGACGUUCAACCGCAAAA
rnacentral:rRNA from 1 species